UAAUAAAGUAGUUUAUGAGCCCGCCGAUUUAUAAAUAGUUUUGAAGAGUUUGAUUAAAAGUUGAACUACAAUUUACGUUUACAAAUAAGGGUAAAGUUUAUGGUGCACUAAUAUAUCAUUGCUAAAGUGCUUGCAAGGCUAUAAACAAUAAUGAAUUGAUAAAACAAUCAAAAUCUUCACAAUAUUUGGGCAACCAAUAAUACGACGCGAACCUGAUAGGUUGUUUUACUUAAACCAGGAAGUACAAUAUUAAACUGAGAUCAACAUAUUUGAACAAGUGUGCCCUGUGAAUGUUUCGGUGUUAUCCUGUUCCGGAGAUAGCGAAGAAUUUUCAUUACGCUAAUCAAGAAUGUUCUUCAAAAUGAAGUGAACUUGGGAAAAACUCAAGCCUGUACAAGUACCUAUUCUAAGAACGGUCAAUCUUGCAUGCUAAGUUUGGCGCACGAAAACAUCG
rnacentral:lncRNA from 1 species